AAGGCACGAAUGCCAGUUUAUCUUUAAAUGCUGUUUGGAAUGAGAAGGAAUAUUCUCUGACAAGUUACUUACAGUGCAGGAACUGCCUCGUCCAGUCAGUGUCUCCAUGCCCUUUGAUAGGAGCUGAGGUUACUCAUUUCAGCAAUAAAGCACAGUCAUGGGUCUGGCUGCUCCCAUCGUCUGUUCAUUAUUGCUUACUGCUGCAGAACCCUCAAAAACGGAAAACAGGCAACUCAGAUUAUACUUUAUCUUAAAAGAUUUUGCUGAUCUCUACCACGAAUUCAUCAGGACUAAUGAGACAGAUAAGUAAAGGAUUUUGUUAUUACAUGCCAACUCCAUAAAGAUACUCUGGGGUAAGCGGAGAGGUGGUACAAUCUUUGUGUGUGAGUGAUGGGAAAGAGCUACCUGGUUACAAAUUCUGGUCCCACUGAAGUCGGCAGGGGUUCUGCCAUUUGCCUUCAACAAAGCAAAGGGUUUCACCAUGUGUUUAACAGGAAUAUUUUGCUGGAGUUGUUGUCAGCAUACUAGUAAACAUACAUUUUAAAAUUGAC
rnacentral:lncRNA from 1 species